AUGCUCGCUUCAGCAGCACAUAUGCUAAAAUUGGAACGAUAUAGAGAAGAUUAGCAUGGGCCCUGUGCAAGGAUGACACACAAAUUUGUAUGUUCCAUAUGUUUUU